GAUGAAGAACGCAGCGAAAUGCGAUACGUAAUGUGAAUUGCAGAAUUCAGUGAAUCAUCGAAUCUUUGAACGCAUAUUGCGCUCUCUGGUAUUCCGGAGAGCAUGCUUGUUUGAGUAUCAGUAAACACCUCAACUUCCAUAUCUUUUUUGAAAUGGGAGUUGGACUUGAGUGAUCCCAACGCUUUUCCUCACCGAAAAGUGGCGGGUUACUUGAAAUGCAGGUGCAGCUGGUCUUUUCUCUGAGCUAUAAGCAUAUCUAUUUAGUCUGCCUAAAAAACAGAUUAUUACCUUUGCUGCAGCUAACAUAAAGGAGAUUAGUUCUUGUGCUGACUGAUGCAGGAUUCACAAAGACAGCUUCGGCCGACUUUGUAAACUCGAUCUCAAAUCAAGUAAGACUACCCGCUGAACUUAAGCAUAUCAAUAAGCGGAGGA
rnacentral:misc_RNA from 1 species